rfam:Rattus norvegicus chromosome 9, whole genome shotgun sequence.
UGGCUCAGUGGUUAAGAGCACUGGCUACUCUUCCAGAGGUCCUGAGUUCAAUUCUCAG